rnacentral:lncRNA from 1 species
CAUCACACCCAUCCAAAAAAAUUUCAAGUCACUGUAUAUGACCAAGUCCUUGACAUGUGUUAUCAAUGACUAAUUUUGGCCAAAUUUUUAUUUAAUGUGACUAACUAUGAUAAAAUUUAUAUUCAGUAUAAAUGUUUGUGACCAAAUUAAUCUUAACUAUGACGGUAUGUGAUAAAAUCACAGUCGAUUACAAUUAACACAUAAUUGAUCACACCUUUCACAAUAAAUACAUACUUGAUCAUACAGAGUUACCACAAACAAAUCUCCAUACACCGUAAACCAGUACCAUAAUCUGCCACUAGUAACCACCACCUUCACCUCCAACUUUACUACAUUCACUGACUUGAGUUAUUUGUGACUAAUUGUGACCAACUUUGUUUUCAGUGUAACUGUCUGUGACCGUAUUAGUCUAAUAUGUAAUCAAGUCACAGUUAAUACAGAUUUGGUCAUAGACAGUCACAAUGAAAAUAGACUUGGUCAUACUCGAUUUUCGUUGCCACUACCACUUUAGCACUAUCACCACUCCAACAAUGUCAACUAAAUGCUUACCACCAAUACCUUCAACAAAUCCUAACCACUACCACCAGUAUCAUCGCAUCACUGCCACCACAUGAAAGAUUUGUUGCUCGUAGCUUCAAGCCAUGGUGUACCUUCUUUAAAGCCUCCAAACAUCGCCAUGCUUGUCAGACUCCACCACUAGCAUGACCACCUCUACCUCCUCUACAAACAUCAACAAACAUUCAGGCAUAAUAACUUCCCAAAUGCACCAAAAAUAAGCCAAACACCAGUACAGGCAGACUGUCUUUUAGGCAACAACACCUUUGAUGAUGCCCAUGUCAGAACCACUACCAUUGCCAUCACCUGCACCAAAACCCACCACCUCCUCCUCCAAUCCACCAACCCGCCACCAUAACCACCACCACAUCCAUAUCAAAUAUAAGUUAAUAUCACCACCACAACCCAUACAACAUACCACACUACAAUUCACAGAUUCGCAUAACCACCACAUAUAUUCGCACCACCACUACCACAACCCUAUAGCCCGACAUCACACCACCAUCUCACCCAAAUCUAACAGUAGUAUCGCUAAUGCGUAGAUCCUCACCAACGUUCUUGCUGUAGUGUUCGUUGCUCGUCACUGCAAUGAUGUCAUCAAUGUAGCGACCAACAUUUGCAC